rnacentral:rRNA from 1 species
GUAGGUGGCAAGCGUUGUCCGGAAUUAUUGGGCGUAAAGCGCGCGCAGGCGGUUCUUUAAGUCUGAUGUGAAAGCCCACGGGCUCAACCGUGGAGGGUCAUUGGAAACUGGAGAACUUGAGUACAGAAGAGGAAAGCGGAAUUCCACGUGUAGCGGUGAAAUGCGUAGAGAUGUGGAGGAACACCAGUGGCGAAGGCGGCUUUCUGGUCUGUAACUGACGCUGAGGCGCGAAAGCGUGGGGAGCAAACAGGAUUAGAUACCCUGGUAGUCCACGCCGUAAACGAUGAGUGCUAAGUGGUUUAGGGGGUUUCCCGCCCCUUAGUGCUGCAGCUAACGCAUUAAGUACUCCGCCUGGGGAGUACGGCCGCAAAGGCUG